UUUUGGCCUCCUGCCAUUUCAUUUACGAGGUACUUGUACUUGACAAACGGAUCUCAUUUAUGCACAGAUAUCAGGCUUCUUCCUGCCUGAUUAUCAGGCACGAGACCCCGCCCUGACCUCAGUCCCAUGCCUGUUACCUCAACGGAGGGGCCAUUGCUUUCCGGCUCCUGCUAAGACGCGUUGCAAACACAAGCCUGGCCCAGUCCUUCGAGCAGAGGGUCUGCAGCCAGGGUCCGUUUGAGCCUUUACGAGCACAGUGCAUGCGCCCAGCAGCAACAGUCCCACCUCCGGUAGGAUUGCUGGGGGCAGACUCGGGUCUUCAGGAGACCCCAGAGAGGCAGGCCUGUUUGUGGAUUCCUCUGGCUGAGUCUGCCAGGCGGCUUGAACCGGUUGUGGACAGCUGGGCUGCUUGGCAUUUUAUGGGCUGCACCUACUGCGUCUGCAACCUACACCACACCUCACGGCAUCCCUGGAUCCUUAACCCACUGAGGAGGGCCAGGAAUCGAACCCAUGUCUUCGUGGAUACCAGCCAGGUUCAUUAUCACUGAGCCAAAAUGGGAACUUCGAAAAGUCUUCUGCAAAGAGGAUUUGGGGGUAUCUUUCAGGAGGAUGGGAUGGGAAGGAGCUUCUUCUAAUUUUUAGCUAGUGUUCAUCAGGCUCCAGCCUUGACAGGUCAGCCUGGCAAUAGGAAGACACGGAGCAGCUGUCCCUGGAACAUGGCUUUCUGAACCCACGUAGUCACUGCCAGCGCCCCUGCCCCCAGCAGAGUGGGCCCUGCCACCUCUUCUGGCUCUUCCAGGUUCUCUGUCAUCAUUCUUUCUUUUUUGUUUGUUUUUGUUUUUCAUCUUUUUUGCCAGUUCUUGGGCCGCUUCCGAAGCAUAUGGAGGUUCCCAGGCUAGGGGUCGAAUCAGAGCUGUAGCUGAUGGCCUACACCACUGCCACAGCAACUCGGGAUCCGAGCCACGUCUGCAACCUACACCACAGCUCACAAUAACGCCAGAUCCUUAACCCACUGAGCAAGGCCAGGGAUUGAACCCGCCACCUCAUGGCUCCUAGUCGGACUCGUUAACCACUGCGCCACGAAGGGAACUCCCUGUCAUCAUUCUUUCUAUUGAUGAGUCCCAUCUCAGAGCCAGGCGCUGGGUGGCCACCCCAAGGACGGGGUGUGAUAUUAGGAACUCCUUGUAUUGGUCAGGGUUCUCUAGAGAAACUUUCUCCCUUCCUCCACCUUGAUGUCAUCAGGCCCUCAAAGGACGGGAUGAGGCCCACCCACUUUCGAGAGGGACAUCUGUUUUACUGGGUUUACCCAUUCAAAUGCUAAUCCCUUCCAGAAACAACCUCCCAGAUAUACCCAGAAACAGUCUUUAACCAGGUAGCUGGACAUCACUUGGCCCAAGCUAGUUGAUAAAGGAAACUAACCACCACACCCCUGUUCACAGGUUAGAAAGCCAAAUAUCCACGAGUGUUCAGCAAUUGUCCCAGACUUCCCAGGUGGGUAGUGGCAGAGUGGGGUCUGAUCCCUGGUCCCUGGCUCCCAGACUCCUGCCC
ensembl:lncRNA